GACGAACGCUGGCGGCGUGCUUAACACAUGCAAGUCGAACGGAAAGGCCCUGCUUUUGUGGGGUGCUCGAGUGGCGAACGGGUGAGUAACACGUGAGUAACCUGCCCUUGACUUUGGGAUAACUUCAGGAAACUGGGGCUAAUACCGGAUAGGAGCUCCUGCUGCAUGGUGGGGGUUGGAAAGUUUUGGCGGUUGGGGAUGGACUCGCGGCUUAUCAGCUUGUUGGUGGGGUAGUGGCUUACCAAGGCUUUGACGGGUAGCCGGCCUGAGAGGGUGACCGGCCACAUUGGGACUGAGAUACGGCCCAGACUCCUACGGGAGGCAGCAGUGGGGAAUAUUGCACAAUGGGCGGAGGCCUGAUGCAGCAACGCCGCGUGCGGGAUGACGGCCUUCGGGUUGUAAACCGCUUUCGCCUGUGACGAAGCGUGAGUGACGGUAAUGGGUAAAGAAGCACCGGCUAACUACGUG
rnacentral:rRNA from 1 species